rnacentral:misc_RNA from 1 species
GCAUUGGGUGUUGCAAGGUUCUUAAGCUGCGCUCACUGGGUUCUCCAGGUUUUGGAUAGUCGCGGCCAUCUGCUGGUAGCAUUGGGUCAUGGUCUAUGGCCUUCUAUGGUUUUGAUAUCUGAAAUAGUUCAAACCUUUAUCCUAGCAGACUUUUGUUACUACUAUGUUAAAAGUGUUUUCGGUGGACAGCUGGUAAUGCGCCUUCCUUCUGGGGUCGUGUAACUUACGAUUGUGAUAGUUAUGGACAGAAAUUUCACAUUCGUUUGUCACUUUUCUUUUGGUUAUCUUGGGUUUCUGUAGAAGGUCCCAGCUCUUGUCUAGGACCCUUGAGGCGCAAUGCACCUUUUGUGAAGUUAGCACUAUCUUAAUUAUAUAAGCAGUAGAUUUUCUUGCUAUGAUAGACUAUUUUACUUUGUUUAGCAGGUAGCACUAACAUAUGGCUUUUGGAUAUGUACUCAUUUUUG